rnacentral:rRNA from 1 species
GACAGAGGUCCCGAGCGUUAGGCGGAAUCACUGGGCUUAAAGCGUGUGUAGGCGGAUGCCUAAGUACCUUGUGAAAUCCCACGGCUCACCCGUGGAACUGCUCGGUAUACUGGGUGUCUUGAGCCACUUAGGGGCUACCGGAACAAAUGGUGGAGCGGUGAAAUGCGUAGAUAUCUGGAGGAACACCGGUGGCGAAGGCGGCAUCCUGGACCGGUAUUGACACUGAGGCGCGAAAGCCAGGGGAGCAAACGGG